UCCAAGCCUUGUGAGAGAAAAGGAUUCCUUGGCUGACAAAGAGUCAGAACCAUCUCUUGGAGGAGCAGGUCUUCCAGAACAGCUGUGAAUUCUGGCCCAAUAAACAGUUCAAGUCCUGCUCAUUAUCUUCAAAAAGGGCAAGAGAGGGGGAGUAGACUGUGCUACAACAGAAAUGAGCAGAGGAAAUCUCACUUGCUGGAAGCAGCAGUUACAGGGGAUCACGUCAAGCCACAGAACUCAUCCUGGCAAGCAGAACUUGCUCUCACGCAACCCAGUCUUGAGCUGUGCAUUUGAACACCCUUAACCAAAGACCAGCUGGACCUCUGUCUCAUGUAUACCAG